GACGAACGCUGGCGGCGUGCCUAAUACAUGCAAGUCGAACGCAGUGGGGACGGGUGAUUAACACGUGGGUAACCGGCCAUCAGAGGGGAUAACACUUGGAAACAGGUGCUAAACCGAUACUGAUGGAUGGACGCGGGGGGCAUUAGCUAUGUGGUGAGGGAACGGCUCACCAAGGCGACGAUGCAUAGCUGGGCUGAGAGGGUGAUCGGCCACACUGGGACUGAGACACGGCCCAGACUCCUACGGGAGGCAGCAGUGGGGAAUAUUGGACAAUGGGCGCAAGCCUGACGCAGCAAGGCCGCGUGUAUGAAGAAGGUUUUCGGAUUGUAAAGCACUUUUAGUGGAGAAGCGGUACCUACAGAAAAAGCCACGGCUAACUCCGUGCCAGCAGCCGCGGUAAUUC
rnacentral:rRNA from 1 species